rnacentral:lncRNA from 1 species
GAAUUCUUUCAGCAUGCCGUAAGCCAUGGUAAGCACAAGAGAAUAAGAGAAAGGAACAAUAUUGUUCCCAUCCACUAGAAAUCUCUGCACCUAAAAUGGUGUGUAAUGGUGGAAAUUGCUAACAACACUGAUGUCCAACAAUUGAAGAUACACUGUGUUAAGAAAAGUGUAAAAGAAAGGUCUCUGGACAAUUUACACUUGGAGGGAUUUGUGGAUGCUGACCUUGCCUCUGGCUGCAACUUCUGUUGUAACUUUGGACCUUCUCUCCCACAUCUAAACUGGUCUUUAAGGUCCCAAUUGACUGGACAGAAGUAUCUAGCAAGGAAGAGGAUAAUUCACCCAGGAGACAAUAUUUGCAAAACCCUGAUGACCUUGUUUAAAGAAAAUGAAAAAGGAUAUUGAAAUGGGUUCUGGAAAGCUGCUAAUAAUUUGUGUGAUGACAGAAAAGCCCCACACCUUCUCAACUUCUGGAAGAAAUAUUAACAGAAAAUGAACCAUCUAUACUAAGGACAUUGAUGGCAGGAACUGGUUCAUAACUUCAGACUAUAAGUGAGGGCUGAUCUGCUCAUUUGCCCUUGGGAUUGAAUGUUUGCUUGCCAUUUAUCAGUUUAAGAAAUGUAGCCCACUUUUAUAACAUUUUAGAACAUACUCAAACUUCUAUCUACAAGGUUUUAUAAGUUUAGAAGGAAUUUUCAGUUUUGCAGUGAAAAUAUUAGCAGGUCUACCUUAUAGUGUUACUAUGAGGUUAAAUAAAUAACAAUUGCUGUGCUCCACACAAAGUAAUUUAGCAUUUAGUAACUGUUACUAAUGAUUACUAUGACAGUUAUAUUUCCAAUAUUUUGAGCAUAACUGAUGGCUAUCAAGCAUUUUUAAUUGAACCAAUUAGAAAGUCACAAGGAGAACAGGUUCCAUGGAAUAGGUGAGUAGUUGAAAAGAAAAUAUGUAUUUUAAAUUACACAUGUUUGAAUGCAAGGUGGAGAAAAGAAGUGAUAAUCAAAUUAGGUAAACCAGGUUUUUAAAAAAAUUCUGGUCAAAUUUUCUCAUCUGAGAUUUGAUUAUGGUAAUAAUAGAAAUUAUUGACUCAAAUGAAAUUUUUGGUGUUAGGUCUAGGUUUAACUUUUACUCAUUUUCUCAUUACCACAUAGGGCUGUCUGCACUGAGAGUGUGGGAGGGAAGUCACACUUUCGAAAUGCACUAAAUUCUAAAGCUGCUUCAAGAUCUCCUUAACUGUAAGGUGAAGCCCACAUCCUUCCCCUCUAGCUAAGGUGAUGGCAAAAACACACCCCAGAAAAUAAAUUCUAUAAGCAGUUAUCAUGUAAAUAUCUGUCAAAGGAACAUUGUCUAGCCACAUGUUCAGAACUGGUGCAUACAUGAGGUACUAGAACUCUAUAGCCUAGGGAGCAUGGCAUACCCAAAUUGAGCACUAUUUGUGGUUAGAUAGAUGACUCAAAAGCCAGUAACAUUUUAUACUGUAAUAAAAUGCUGAGAAAAAUUCUAUUGUUUUUGAAGGUGUCAUUUUUCUGUUUCCUAUAAGAUAAAAACAAUCUCUAAAGUACAGUAAUUUAUUAGUAGCUGCCAAACCUAUCCUAUUGACAUUUUAAAAGACUUCUUUGUGAAAAAUCUAAAACAUACACAAAAAACAGAAAAAUUAAAACCAAUUCUAGGAACUUAUCAUCCAAGUUUAAGAAUUAUCAGUAUUUUGACAAUCUUGUUUCAUUUAGCCCUUUUUUUUCCUCACUGAAAUAUUUAGGCAAAUUCCAGAUAUUGCAUUGUCUCAUCCAUAAAUACUUCAUUAUUUACUGCUAAUCGAACAAAUAUGUUUUAUAUAUAAGCCAUGUCAUUAUUACAACUUACAAAAUUACAAAUAUUUUAGUAUGAUCUAACAUUGAAUUCACAUUCAAAUUUACUUGAUAGUCUCACUUAUUUUCAACAGUAUAUCCCAUUGAUUAUAAUUAAGCAAAGAUGAUAUGAAAAGUGAGUGACUGGAAACCAUAUAAUAUACUUAUUUGGAGAAACAUUUAUAGUAAUGGUUAUAUGGCGAUGAUAAUGAUAAUAAUGAUGAUAGACUUAUGAUAUAUUAUAGCAAAAAA